UACGUAGGGUGCGAGCGUUAAUCGGAAUUACUGGGCGUAAAGCGUGCGCAGGCGGCUUUGCAAGACAGAUGUGAAAUCCCCGGGCUCAACCUGGGAACUGCAUUUGUGACUGCAAGGCUAGAGUACGGCAGAGGGGGAUGGAAUUCCGCGUGUAGCAGUGAAAUGCGUAGAUAUGCGGAGGAACGCCAAUGGCGAAGGCAAUCCCCUGGGCCUGCACUGACGCUCAUGCACGAAAGCGUGGGGAGCAAACAGG
rnacentral:rRNA from 1 species